GACGAACGCUGGCGGCGUGCCUAACACAUGCAAGUCGAACGGAGAUAUGAUUUCGGUUAUAUCUUAGUGGCGAACGGGUGAGUAACGCGUGAGCAACCUGACCUUCAGAGGGGGAGUAACACUUGGAAACAGGUGCUAAUACCGCAUAAGACCACGACCCGACAUCGGGAUGCGGUCAAAGGAGCAAUCCGCUGAGGGAGGGGCUCGCGUCCCAUUAGAUAGAUGGCGGGGUAACGGCCCACCAUGUCGACGAUGGGUAGCCGAGCUGAGAGGCUGAUCGGCCACACUGGAACUGAGACACGGUCCAGACUCCUACGGGAGGCAGCAGUGGGGAAUAUUGGGCAAUGGGCGCAAGCCUGACCCAGCAACGCCGCGUGAGGGAAGAAGGCCUUCGGUUGUAAACCUCUGUCCUGGUGACGAACAAAUAGACGGUAGCCAAGGAGGAAGCCCCGGCUAACUACGUGCCAGCAGCCGCGGUAAGU
rnacentral:rRNA from 1 species